rnacentral:rRNA from 1 species
AUUGAACGCUGGCGGCAGGCCUAACACAUGCAAGUCGAGCGGAGCGGCGGACGGGUGAGUAAUGCCUAGGAAUCUGCCUGGUAGUGGGGGAGAACGUCCGGAAACGGGCGCUAAUACCGCAUACUAGCCGAUGAGCCUAGGUGGGAUGAGCUAGUGGGUGGGGUAAAGGCAUACCAGAGCGACGAUCCGUAACUGGUCUGAGAGGAGGAUCAGUCAUACUGGAACGGAGAACCGGUCCAGACUCCUACGUGGGGCCGCAGGGGGGAAUAUUGGACAAUGGGCGAAAGCCUGAUCCAGCAAUGCCGCGUGUGUGAAGAAGGUCUUCGGAUUGUCAAGCUCUUUAAGUUGGGAGGCGUUACCAACAGAAUAAGCACCGGCAAACUUCGUGCCAGCAGCCGCGGUAAUAC